CCUACGGGAGGCUGCAGUGAGGAAUAUUGGUCAAUGGCCGGAAGGCUGAACCAGCCAAGUCGCGUGAGGGACGACUGCCCUAUGGGUUGUAAACCUCUUUUAUAAGGGAAGAAUAAAUGCUACGUGUAGCAUGAUGCCUGUACCUUAUGAAUAAGCAUCGGCUAACUCCGUGCCAGCAGCCGCGGUAAUACGGAGGAUGCGAGCGUUAUCCGGAUUUAUUGGGUUUAAAGGGUGCGUAGGCGGUCCGGAAAGUCAGCGGUAAAAGCCCGGGGCUCAACCCCGGCGAGCCGUUGAAACUGUCUGUCUAGAGACGGCGAGAGGUAGGCGGAAUGCGCGGUGUAGCGGUGAAAUGCAUAGAUAUUGCGCAGAACUCCGAUUGGGAAGGCAGCGUACCGGCGGCGAUAUGACGCUGAGGCACGAAAGCGUGGGUAUCGAACAGGAUUAGAUACCCUUGUAGUC
rnacentral:rRNA from 1 species